ensembl:miRNA Gm22569 predicted gene, 22569
GGUUUCUCUGUGUAGCCUUGGCUGUCCUGGAACUCACUCUGUAGACCAGGCUGGCCUUGAACUCAGAAAUCCACCUGCCUCUGCCUCCCGAGUGCUGGGAGUAAAGGCAUGUGCCACCAUGCCC